rnacentral:rRNA from 1 species
GACGAACGCUGGCGGCGUGCUUAACACAUGCAAGUCGAACGGAAAGGCCUCUUUCGGGGGGUACUCGAGUGGCGAACGGGUGAGUAACACGUGAGUAACCUGCCCUUGACUUUGGGAUAACUUCAGGAAACUGGGGCUAAUACCGGAUAGGAGCUCCUGCUGCAUGGUGGGGGUUGGAAAGUUUCGGCGGUUGGGGAUGGACUCGCGGCUUAUCAGCUUGUUGGUGGGGUAGUGGCUUACCAAGGCUUUGACGGGUAGCCGGCCUGAGAGGGUGACCGGCCACAUUGGGACUGAGAUACGGCCCAGACUCCUACGGGAGGCAGCAGUGGGGAAUAUUGCACAAGGGGUGGAAGCCUGAUGCAGCAACGCUGUGUGCGGGAGGACGGCCUUCGGGUUGUAAACCGCUUUCGCUCAUGACGAAGCUUUGUGUGACGGUAGUGGGUAAAGAAGCACCGGCUAACUACGUG